rnacentral:rRNA from 1 species
UACGUAGGGGGCGAGCGUUGUCCGGAGUUACUGGGCGUAAAGGGCACGCAGGCGGUUGUGUCAGUUUGCGGGGACAGUGGGCGGCUUAACUGCCCAAGGGUCGCAAAGACGGCACGACUGGAGAGCGAGAGAGGGACCUGGAAUUCCGGGUGGAGCGGUGAAAUGCGUAGAGAUCCGGAGGAACACCACUGGCGCAGGCAAGGUCCUGGCUCGUAUCUGACGCUGAGGUGCGAAAGCUAAGGGAGCGAACGGG